rnacentral:rRNA from 1 species
GAGUUUGAUCAUGGCUCAGGACGAACGCUGGCGGUAUGCCUAAUACAUGCAAGUCGAGCGCAGGAAGCAGACUGAAGCCUUCGGGUGGAUGUCUGUGGAAUGAGCGGCGGAUGGGUGAGUAUCACGUGGGUAACCUGCCUGUAAGCUUGGGAUAACUCCGGGAAACCGGUGCUAAUACCAGAUAAGAUUUCCGUUCGCAUGAACGGAAAAUGAAAGGCGGCUUUUGCUGUCACUUACAGAUGGACCCGCGUCGCAUUAGCUAGUUGGUGGGUAAAGGCUCACCAAAGCAACGAUGCGUAGCCGACCUGAGAGGGUGAUCGGCCACACUGGGACUGAGACACGGCCCAGACUCCUACGGGAGCAGCAGGUAGGGAAUCUUCCGCAAUGGACGAAAGUCUGAC